rnacentral:rRNA from 1 species
UACGAAGGGGGCUAGCGUUGUUCGGAAUUACUGGGCGUAAAGGGCGCGUAGGCGGCGUGACAAGUCACUUGUGAAAUCUCCGGGCUUAACUCGGAGCGGCCAAGUGAUACUGUCGUGCUAGAGUGCGGAAGGGGCUACUGGAAUUCUCGGUGUAGCGGUGAAAUGCGUAGAUAUCGAGAGGAACACCUGCGGCGAAGGCGGGUAGCUGGGCCGACACUGACGCUGAGGCGCGAAAGCUAGGGGAGCGAACGGG